AUACAGGCAAUGACGGAAAGAGUAAUCGCCCUCCCCUUUUGCAGAGAGCUGUCGGUCGGUGCAAGGCAGCAAAGGCAGGCGACGAAAUACACUCCCGAGCCGUACACCGAAAGCUUAUGCCGUAGGCUGUACCGUGUGCGCCCGUUAAAGCGCGUGGGUUUUGCAUGAAACCCGACGAGGCAUAUCCCGCGAGGUAUAUGCAAACAUGAGGUGGUAACACGAUUUUUCGUCCUCUGC
rnacentral:ncRNA from 1 species